CCUACGGGAGGCAGCAGUAGGGAAUAUUGCUCAAUGGGGGAAACCCUGAAGCAGCAACGCCGCGUGGAGGAUGAAUGUUUUCGGAUUGUAAACUCCUUUUGUUAGAGAAGAUAAUGACGGUAUGUAACGAAUAAGCACCGGCUAACUCCGUGCCAGCAGCCGCGGUAAUACGGAGGGUGCAAGCGUUACUCGGAAUCACUGGGCGUAAAGGGCGCGUAGGGGGGAUAGCAAGUCAGAUGUGAAAUCCUAUGGCUUAACCAUAGAACUGCAUUUGAAACUGUUAUUCUAGAGUAUGGGAGAGGUAGGUGGAAUUCGUGGUGUAGGGGUAAAAUCCGUAGAGAUCAAGAAGAAUACUCAUUGCGAAGGCGACCUGCUAGACCAUAACUGACGCUGAUGCGCGAAAGCGUGGGGAGCAAACAGGAUUAGAUACCCCUGUAGUC
rnacentral:rRNA from 1 species